UUUCAGAUGGUUACGGUCGAUGCAGGCCUCUCGAUAGGCUUGGUAAGCUUUAUUGACUUGUUCCCGCCCAACCGAGCUGCAUUCCUCUUCCAUCCGGGAGCCAAGCACCUGAACGUUCAACACACAGGAGAAGUUCCUGAUGUUUAGCUAAUGGACCAACAGAAAUGCUGGAAUGAAAGAACUGAGCAUAAUGAAGACAGCUUUUUGUACUGCAGGAAAAACUUACUUCAACAGAAAACCGACUUGAUCAGCAGAGCUUUGCAGAAAAGGUUACAGCUCCUCAAAUCUGGAAGAAGGAUGCCAGAAGGUCUUUCAGGAUGGUUCACCAAGUCCUGCCACAGACUUCUGCCCUGUUUUAAUCUGUUUGACUUCUCGUAAUUCAAAGUCACAUUCGUAUGCACUGCUGAAAAUGCCUCAGAGCUGACACUCUGAAACACCUGAGUGAAUACUGACAUCUUUGGAGCUGCAAUUCAUGAGGUAAUCUGUCCUACAGUAACCAGUUCAAGUGAAAGAUUUCUCACUAAAAUAUUUGAAGUAAUAUACUGACAAGCUAAUGCCUCUGAAUACAAUUGAUGUCCAUCUUGGCCUCCUUGAGGCAACCUUCACAAUAAUACUUUUUAUUCCCUUUACUUCAGCACAGUAGCUAAGUAUUUUGCCUGUGAUAAAUAUAUUUCAUUUACACUUUAGAAUGAUCUGCACACAAAACAGCCUACUUAAAAGGACUUUAAUCUUUAUGUCCAAAACUAAAUACAUUAAAUGAGUACCAGUACUACUGUUUGUAUUAACUAACUAAUGUCUAAAAGCCAACAAACAAAAACCCCAAUCUGAAUACACUGUUGACAGGAAACAGCAUUAAGUUCUAGCAGGACUAAUUAUGCUCCCUGUUUAUAAGCAAAUGAGUUUGAAGAGGUGGCACCACUUAAGUUUUCUUUCACACAAUGUGAAGAACAGAAGAACUAACAGGAACCACUUCUGUUGCUCACAUAGGUUAUAGAACAGCUUUGAUUCAAUACACUGAGUAUUUUGAGCAAAAUAAUGUUUUCCCAUAUCUUACUAAUGCUUGGCAGAAACAUCAUUUUUCUCUUUAAACAGCUUUAAGAACACUAGUCAUUAACACCAUGGGAGGCAGUUAAAUAUAAAACACAUUCUACAUACGAGGAACAUGGGAUGCAGAGGCUCUAAUAGCAAACAGACCACUGCACAAACAGAGCUCUGUAGUUUGAAAUGCUAAUCUUAUUCUUGGAUCAGAAGGAGAGAUAGUAAAAGCAGGAUUACAUUAAAUUUUUCCCAGUAUGAAGCAGAUUCUCAUUUUGGCCUAAUGGUUGAUUUGAAAGAGAAUAAAACAGUUCUGAAAAUAUUUCCAAAUAUCAAAUGCAAAUAAUUUCAAGAUGGUUGUUUUCCUGUUUGCCUUCCAGACUCGAAGAGCUUGACUUCCUAAUGGUAAUAUGAACAGUUUCCAGCUGUUGAUAACAACAGCGUAAUUUCUGUACGGAUUUAUCUUGCCUUACAGAGAAGGGUAUACAUAAAUGCAUGUAACCAUAAAAAAAUCCUUUAAAAUCAAGAAAUGCCUUUGAACCAAAGGAAUCCUGAGUGAGCAUGUUACAACCUUCACCUUAAUUUCAGAAAAGCUGUACUGUUUUUUUCUUCUUUUUUUUAAAGAUACUUCAGCAGAGCAAGGAAUAAAACAGAAUUCCUGCAGCCAGCAUCAAAAACUCCACACAGUACUUGGAGCAUAUGACACAAGAUGUUAAAACAAGCAAGACUUCCAGUCUCUUUAAGCAUCCAUCACUUUGCACCUCUCCUUCAGAAAUCUUAGGUUCUCUUUGAUUCCAGUUGUGAACAGACUGUUCUACAGAGAAAGGCAUCACUUUUUACACAUACUUGCUCCAUUUAAGAGUAAUAAAAAUUCUCACACGCACACCCACAUCUCAGCAGCUGCUACUUUGGCCGCUGUUCAUCCUUCCGUAUGGCCAAAGUCCACAGGUCCAGCGCCCUCCCAGGGAGUCCCAGAGCACAGGGGCACAGCCCGGCUGUCCCAGUGUACUGGGUGCUCCUUCAGAAACACGUCAGCAUGCGAGCUACAUCACACCCACCUCCAAAGCACUUUCGUUUUACUGCCUUCAGGAAAUGGAAACUCACUGUCUCUGUGCUCACACAUCACAUCACUUUAGCUCAUCUAUCCUGAACAUCUAGGUAAGCUACAAAAGCCAAGUAAAAUCUCCUUAGGUACAACAGGCAAUUUUUUUCAAUCUCAAGGUUUUUACAAUAAAUAAUCUACUCUCACAAGGACCAGAAGAGCAAUAAAAAGCCCAUUUUAUUACAAAAGAGCUUGAUAAAUUUUACUUUCUCUGAACAGCGUCAGACUCCAGUACCUCCACUGCUAAUUUGCAAACCUUAUGCAUCCUCAGUGUAAUGUAUUCAGUCUGCCUUUCUGUGGAUGCUGUCACAAUCAUCACUCUCCCUGACAACUACCUGAAAAGGGAGAAUAUAAAAACCCAGAAGUAGGAAUCAAUAAAAUAAAAUAUUAUCCUUUCAGUAUCAUAUAAUCCUGUUUAUUAAACUAUUACGUUUAAUGUUGAAAGUAAUUAAAAGCAGUACUAUCAAACAAACCUCAGUAGGAGCAAAAUGGCUUUUGGCUGUUAAACAUUUCUAGCACCAAUUAUAAGUAUCUUGAAAGGUUACUGAAUCUUUUCUUUUGCUGUUCAUUCAUUCCCAUUUCAAAAGGUUUAUAAGGAAUAACAAUUUCCAAAAGUUUAGAGGGCUUGAUUUGGAUUUUUUUUUCAUUUCUUCUUUUGUAAACCAAACAGCAGGUCCUACCUCUCAAUCACAAGUUUCCUUCUAUUCAAUUAAAUAGGUUAAUUACCAUUCAGUAAGUUCACAAGUUCAGUGAAUAAGUUCAGUGAAAAGCCUUUUGUAAUUGUAUUAUCUUUUAAUUCAAGUGGAAA